UACGAAGGGGGCUAGCGUUGCUCGGAAUCACUGGGCGUAAAGCGCACGUAGGCGGAUUGUUAAGUCAGGGGUGAAAUCCUGGAGCUCAACUCCAGAACUGCCUUUGAUACUGGCGAUCUUGAGUCCGGGAGAGGUGAGUGGAACUGCGAGUGUAGAGGUGAAAUUCGUAGAUAUUCGCAAGAACACCAGUGGCGAAGGCGGCUCACUGGCCCGAUACUGACGCUGAGGCGCGAAAGCGUGGGGAGCAAACAGG
rnacentral:rRNA from 1 species